rnacentral:misc_RNA from 1 species
UCCGAGUUGACCCCGGCAGUCUCCUACGAGUCCCCGGCAUAACCCGCUGGCAACAUAGGACAAGGGUUGCGCUCGUUGCGGGACUUAACCCAACAUCUCACGGCACGAGCUGACGACAGCCAUGCAGCACCUGUGCUGGUACCCGGCUCUACGGGUCGCCGACCCUUUCGGGUGACUACUGCCAGCAUGUCAAACCUGGGUAAGGUUCUUCGCGUUGCGUCGAAUUAAACCACAUGCACCACCGCUUGUGCGGGCCCCCGUCAAUUCCUUUGAGUUUUAGCCUUGCGGCCGUACUCCCCAGGCGGGGAACUUAAUGCGUUAGCUUCGGCACGGACGGAGUCGACACCGCCCACACCUAGUUCCCAUCGUUUACGGCGUGGACUAC